rfam:Oryza barthii chromosome 3, whole genome shotgun sequence.
UUUAAGCGUACCCAUAAGUUUCUGGGUUCAACUUUGAUCGUCCAUUUUAUUUAAAUUUUUUUAUGAUUAAUAUUUUUAUUGUUAUUAGAUGCUAAAAUAUGAAUAGUACUUUAUACGUGACUUAUGUUUUUUAUUUUUUUAAAAAAAUUAAAUAAUACAGACGAUUAAAGUUGCACAAAGAAACUUAUGGUUGCGUUUAAA